UCCUCUCCCUCAAUCGGUUGCCAGCCUUUUCACCGGCACCGCAGCAGCCAGCCACCUCUUCGUCUCCUCCACAAAAGCUCAGCCACACGCCGGACCGAAACCGUAGAUUCUCCCCUCAGACCCACGAUCUCCUUCUUCGGCCGACCAGCACCAGACCCUCUCUCUCUCGGCGGCGCUCCUCUAAGCCAUCAGCAGCGCCUUCUUCAUCUCCGCAGCAGCGCCAACGGCCGCAG
rnacentral:lncRNA from 1 species